GACGAACGCUGGCGGCGUGCCUAAUACAUGCAAGUCGAACGCAGUGGGGACGGGUGAGUAACACGUUGGUAACCUCCCAUCAGAGCGGAUAACACUUGGACACAGGUGCUAAACCGAUACUGAUGGAUGGACCAGCGGUGCAUUGGCUAGUUGGUGGGGUAACGGCUCACCAAGGCUACGAUGCAUAGCCGACCUGAGAGGGGGAUCGGCCACACUGGGACUGGGACACGGCCCAGACUCCACCGGGGGGCAGCAGUAGGGAAUCUUCGGAAAUGGACGAAAGUCGGACCGAGAAACGCCGCGUAGGUGAAGAAGGUUUUCGGAUCGUAAAACUCUGUUGUUAGAGAAGCGGUAUCUAACCAGAAAGCCACGGCUAACUACGUGCCAGCAGCCGCGGUAAUAC
rnacentral:rRNA from 1 species